rnacentral:lncRNA from 1 species
UGGGCCUCAGGAAGAACUUUUCCAAAUCUUUCAGGCUCGACCUUUAAUUACGGGCCACUGCAUAGACUGGGUUGCCAUAGAACAAGUUUAAUUGGCUGAUGUGAUUCGGGCCCUCCGAACCACUGACCCUUGGGAGCUAUUCUUUGAGAUCAUCAAACCAACAUACCUCGAGCUCACGAUGAAACUAUGCUCAACAUUCCAUCUUCAGACCAUAAUGACAAACUACGAUGAUCCCG